GACGAACGCUGGCGGCGUGCCUAAUACAUGCCAGUAGAACGCUGAAGCGAGGAGCUUGCUCUUCUUGGAUGAGUUGCGAACGGGUGAGUAACGCGUAGGUAACCUGCCUUGUAGCGGGGGAUAACUAUUGGAAACGAUAGCUAAUACCGCAUAACAAUGGAUGACCCAUGUCAUUUAUUUGAAAGGGGCAAAUGCUCCACUACAAGAUGGACCUGCGUUGUAUUAGCUAGUAGGUGAGGUAACGGCUCACCUAGGCGACGAUACAUAGCCGACCUGAGAGGGUGAUCGGCAAAACUGGGACUGAGACACGGCCCAGACUCCUACGGGAGGCAGCAGUAGGGAAUCUUCGGCAAUGGGGGCAACCCUGACCGAGCAACGCCGCGUGAGUGAAGAAGGUUUUCGGAUCGUAAAGCUCUGUUGUAAGUCAAGAACGAGUGUGAGAGUGGAAAGUUCACACUGUGACGGUAGCUUACCAGAAAGGGACGGCUAACUACGUG
rnacentral:rRNA from 1 species